rnacentral:rRNA from 1 species
GCCCGGAGAUAGCUGGUUCUCCCCGAAAUAGCUUUAGGGCUAGCCUCAAGGUGAGAGAUACGGAGGUAGAGCACUGAAUGUCCUAGGGGGUAUUGCACCUACCGAAGACUAUCAAACUCCGAAUGCCGUCAUCUUAUACUUGGGAGUCAGACUGUGGGUGAUAAGAUUCAUAGUCGAAAGGGCAACAGCCCAGAUCGUCAGCUAAGGUCCCUAAAUGUAAGUUAAGUGGUAAAGGAUGUGGGAUUGCACAGACAACCAGGAUGUUGGCUUAGAAGCAGCCACUCAUUCAAAGAGUGCGUAAUAGCUCACUGGUCGAGUGAUCCUGCGCCGAAGAUUUCCGGGGCUAAAACUUACUACCGAAGCUACGGCAUCAGUAAUGAUGGGUAGGGGAGCUUCCCAUACAGGUUGAAGCAUGACCGUAAGGACAUGUGGACAGUAUGGGAGUGAGAAUGUUGGCAUGAGUAGCGAGAUGUGGGUGAGAAUCCCACAGGCCGUAAACCCAAGGUUUCCAGGGGAAGGUUCGUCCGCCCUGGGUUAGUCGGGACCUAAGCUGAGGCCGAAAGGCGUAGGUGAUGGACAACAGGUUGAUAUUCCUGUACUACCGAUAACCGUUUGAGAGAAGGGAUGACACAGUAGGAUAAGUUAAGCACACUGUUGGUUAUGUGUGCCCAAGCAUUGAGGCAGUCAAAGCAGGCAAAUCCGCUUUGAUAAUGCUGGGAUGUGAUGGGGAGCGAAAUUUAGUAGCGAAGUAGCUGAUUUCACACUGUCAAGAAAAGUCUCUAUCGAGGUUAAAGGUACCCGUACCGCAAACCGACACAGGUGGGUGAGGAGAGUAUCCUAAGGCCAGCGAGAGAACUGUUGUUAAGGAACUCGGCAAAAUGACCCCGUAACUUAGGGAUAAGGGGUGCCACCAUC